UACGGGGGGGGCAAGCGUUGUUCGGAAUUACUGGGCGUAAAGGGUCCGUAGGUGGCUCGCUAAGUCAGACGUGAAAUCCCUCGGCUUAACUGGGCGGGGUCGGCGGAUACGGCCGAGCUGGAGCAAGCUAGGGGGCAAUGGAAUUCCCGGUGUAGUGGUGGAAUGCGUAGAUAUCGGGAGGAACACCAGUGGCGAAGGCGGUUGCCUGGAGCUUUGCUGACGCUGAUGCGCGAAAGCGUGGGGAGCGAUCCGG
rnacentral:rRNA from 1 species